UACGUAGGGUGCAAGCGUUGUCCGGAAUUAUUGGGCGUAAAGAGCUCGUAGGCGGUUUGUCGCGUCUGCUGUGAAAACUGGAGGCUCAACCUCCAGCCUGCAGUGGGUACGGGCAGACUAGAGUGCGGUAGGGGAGAUUGGAAUUCCUGGUGUAGCGGUGGAAUGCGCAGAUAUCAGGAGGAACACCGAUGGCGAAGGCGGGUCUCUGGGCAGUAACUGACGCUGAGGAGCGAAAGCGUGGGGAGCAAACAGG
rnacentral:rRNA from 1 species